rnacentral:rRNA from 1 species
CACGUAGGGUGCGAGCGUUGUCCGGAAUUAUUGGGCGUAAAGAGCUCGUAGGCGGUGUGUCGCGUCGGCCGUGAAAACCUGCAGCUUAACUGUGGGCUUGCGGUCGAUACGGGCAUCACUGGAGUUCGGCAGGGGAGACUGGAAUUCCUGGUGUAGCGGUGAAAUGCGCAGAUAUCAGGAGGAACACCGUGGCGGAAGGCGGGUCUCUGGGCCGAUACUGACGCUGGAGGCGCGACAGCGUGGGGGAGCAA